rnacentral:rRNA from 1 species
CGGUACGUACUGGCAUUGUUGGUUUCUCCCUUCUGACGAACCAUGAUGUCAUUUAUUUGGUGUUGUGGGGAAUCAGGACUGUUACUUUGAAAAAAUUAGAGUGUUUAAAGCAGGCUCACGCUUGAAUACAUUAGCAUGGAAUAAUGAAAUAGGACGUUUGAUUCUAUUUUGUUGGUUUCUAGGAUCGACGUAAUGAUUAAUAGGGAUAGUUGGGGGCAUUAGUAUUCAAUUGUCAGAGGUGAAAUUCUUGGAUUUAUUGAAGACUAACUACUGCGAAAGCAUUUGCCAAGGAUGUUUUCAUUAAUCAAGAACGAAAGUUAGGGGAUCGAAGACGAUCAGAUACCGUCGUAGUCUUAACCAUAAACUAUGCCGACUAGGGAUCGGAUGAUGUUAAUUCUUUAAUGACUCAUUCGGCGCCUUACG